rnacentral:rRNA from 1 species
CGAGGUGGAGCAAAUACCCAAAAAUAAACGUCUCAGUUCGGAUUGUAGUCUGCAACUCGACUACAUGAAGCUGGAAUCGCUAGUAAUCGCGAAUCAGAAUGUCGCGGUGAAUACGUUCCCGGGUCUUGUACACACCGCCCGUCAAGCCAUGGAAGCCGGGAGUGCCUGAAGUGCGUGAGCGCAAGCAGCGCCCUAAGGUAAAACCGGUGACUGGGGCUAAGUCGUAACAAGGUACC